GGCUAAACCAUGCACCGAAGCUGCGGCAGCGACACUGUGUGUUGUUGGGUAGGGGAGCGUUCUGUAAGCCUGUGAAGGUGGCCUGUGAGGGUUGCUGGAGGUAUCAGAAGUGCGAAUGCUGACAUAAGUAACGAUAAAGCGGGUGAAAAGCCCGCUCGCCGGAAGACCAAGGGUUCCUGUCCAACGUUAAUCGGGGCAGGGUGAGUCGACCCCUAAGGCGAGGCCGAAAGGCGUAGUCGAUGGGAAACGGGUUAAUAUUCCCGUACUUGGUGUUACUGCGAAGGGGGGACGGAGAAGGCUAUGUUGGCCGGGCGACGGUUGUCCCGGUUUAAGCGUGUAGGUGUGUGUUCCAGGUAAAUCCGGUUCACUUUAACACUGAGGCGUGACGACGAGGCACUACGGUGCUGAAGCAACAAAUGCCCUGCUUCCAGGAAAAGCCUCUAAGCAUCAGGUAACAUCAAAUCGUACCCCAAACCGACACAGGUGGUCAGGUAGAGAAUACCAAGGCGCUUGAGAGAACUCGGGUGAAGGAACUAGGCAAAAUGGUGCCGUAACUUCGGGAGAAGGCACGCUGACACGUAGGUGAAGUGAUUUACUCACGGAGCUGAAGUCAGUCGAAGAUACCAGCUGGCUGCAACUGUUUAUUAAAAACACAGCACUGUGCAAACACGAAAGUGGACGUAUACGGUGUGACGCCUGCCCGGUGCCGGAAGGUUAAUUGAUGGGGUCAGCGCAAGCGAAGCUCCUGAUCGAAGCCCCGGUAAACGGCGGCCGUAACUAUAACGGUCCUAAGGUAGCGAAAUUCCUUGUCGGGUAAGUUCCGACCUGCACGAAUGGCGUAAUGAUGGCCAGGCUGUCUCCACCCGAGACUCAGUGAAAUUGAACUCGCUGUGAAGAUGCAGUGUACCCGCGGCAAGACGGAAAGACCCCGUGAACCUUUACUAUAGCUUGACACUGAACAUUGAGCCUUGAUGUGUAGGAUAGGUGGGAGGCUUUGAAGCGUGGACGCCAGUCUGCGUGGAGCCGACCUUGAAAUACCACCCUUUAAUGUUUGAUGUUCUAACGUGGACCCGUGAUCCGGGUUGCGGACAGUGUCUGGUGGGUAGUUUGACUGGGGCGGUCUCCUCCUAAAGAGUAACGGAGGAGCACGAAGGUUGGCUAAUCCUGGUCGGACAUCAGGAGGUUAGUGCAAUGGCAUAAGCCAGCUUGACUGCGAGCGUGACGGCGCGAGCAGGUGCGAAAGCAGGUCAUAGUGAUCCGGUGGUUCUGAAUGGAAGGGCCAUCGCUCAACGGAUAAAAGGUACUCCGGGGAUAACAGGCUGAUACCGCCCAAGAGUUCAUAUCGACGGCGGUGUUUGGCACCUCGAUGUCGGCUCAUCACAUCCUGGGGCUGAAGUAGGUCCCAAGGGUAUGGCUGUUCGCCAUUUAAAGUGGUACGCGAGCUGGGUUUAGAACGUCGUGAGACAGUUCGGUCCCUAUCUGCCGUGGGCGCUGGAGAACUGAGGGGGGCUGCUCCUAGUACGAGAGGACCGGAGUGGACGCAUCACUGGUGUUCGGGUUGUCAUGCCAAUGGCACUGCCCGGUAGCUAAAUGCGGAAGAGAUAAGUGCUGAAAGCAUCUAAGCACGAAACUUGCCCCGAG
rnacentral:rRNA from 1 species